rnacentral:rRNA from 1 species
CUUUGGCGAAUCUGUGCUUGCACAGGCUAGCCAAGGCGGACGGGUGAGUAACGCGUAAAGAACUUGCCCUGCAGACAGGGAUAACAGACGGAAACGACUGAUAACACCUGAUACAAUUGCCGGCACGCAUGUGCCUGGCAAUGAAAUGAGAUGCUGCGGGAGAGCUUUGCGUCCUAUUAGCUUGUUGGUGAGGUAACGGCUCACCAAGGCGAUGAUAGGUAGCCGGCCUGAGAGGGUGAACGGCCACAAGGGGACUGAGAUACGGCCCUUACUCCUACGGGAGGCAGCAGUGGGGAAUAUUGGACAAUGGGGGCAACCCUGAUCCAGCAAUUCUGUGUGCACGAAGAAGGUUUUCGGAUUGUAAAGUGCUUUCAGCAGGGAAGAAGAAAGUGACGGUACCUGCAGAAGAAGCGACGGCUAAAUACGUGCCAGCAGCCGCGGUAAUACGUAUGUCGCAAGCGUUAUCCGGAAUUAUUGGGCAUAAAGGGCAUCUAGGCGGCCAGACAAGUCUGGGGUGAAAACUUGCGGCUCAACCGCAAGCCUGCCCUGGAAACUGUUUGGCUAGAGUGCUGGAGAGGUGGACGGAACUGCACGAGUAGAGGUGAAAUUCGUAGAUAUGUGCAGGAAUGCCGAUGAUGAAGAUAGUUCACUGGACGGCAACUGACGCUGAAGUGCGAAAGCUAGGGGAGCGAACAGGAUUAGAUACCCUGGUAGUCCUAGCUGCAAACGAUGAGUGCUAGGUGUUAGACCCUUUCCGG